GGUGACAGGUGGUGCAUGGUUGUCGUCAGCUCGUGUCGUGAGAUGUUGGGUUAAGUCCGCAACGAGCGCAACCCCUAUUGUUAGUUGCCAUCAUUCAGUUGGGCACUCUAGCGAGACUGCCGGUAAUAAACCGGAGGAAGGUGGGGAUGACAUCAAAUCAUCAUGCCCCUUAUGACCUGGGCUACACACGUGCUACAAUGGUUGGUACAACGAGUUGCGAGUCGGUGACGGCGAGCUAAUCUCUUAAAGCCAAUCUCAGUUCGGAUUGUAGGCUGCAACUCGCCUACAUGAAGUCGGAAUCGCUAGUAAUCGCGGAUCAGUACGCCGCGGUCGAAUACGUUCCCGGGCCUU
rnacentral:rRNA from 1 species